UUAUUAGGGAAUGCAAAUAAAUGCAUGGAGUAUUUUACACAAUAUGAAAAUAAUGCACACCAUUAUGUAGAUCUGAUGUUAUCCCCCACAGUCAGUUGGUAGUUUUCUGUAGAGAAAGUGAGCAGUAAAUGGUUAACACAGUAGUCCUUAGCAAGACCGGACCAUUGAAGAAAAUAGUGGGUAUCUUCUAUUAAAAUUAAGGAACUAGGCAAAGCUCCAGAAUGUUUUCAAGGGAAGGAACUGGGAAGCAUAAGCCUUAUAAACGACCGCCACCUUACCGGGACAGGAAGCACGUUAUAUUCAUUUUUAGUCUCCUCUGUGCCUAGUGCAAAGCACAGUGCAUAGUUUUUGUUUGGUUACAUAAUGAUUGUGUAUGUGUGUUUGUGUGUGUUGUGAGAUGUAUCAGCAAAAUGAUUUCCUGUUAAUACUAAAUUGAAAUAUUAGUGUAAUAUCCUUUAAAAUUCUCUAUUCCUCCCUGCGCUCCUUGCAAAAAAAAAGUCUAAAAUGGGAAAAAUAUAAAUGAAAAGAAAGAAAAAUAAAUUAGAGUAGCAAAAAGACAAGAGAAACCCCAUAUAAGAAUAAGUUUCUGGACAGAAAAAAGUCGCAUGAGUAACAGCAGGAGCAUUACACACCUCAUGAAACAGGAUCUGGGAAAUCGGGGCAAGGGGUUCAGUGUGAACGUCGAUGUUGGCAACAAGAAUUCGUCUGCAUGCGGAGAUUGUGCUGUCAUCAACUGCUGUUGUAUUUCAGUCUUUCAAUUUUCAUCUUUUCCCUUUGUACUUUUCCAUUAAACAGCACAUUAUAACUAGAUCAGUGGGGGAAGGCAGCCAAAAGAGCAGAACUUAUAUUUCAAAAUGAAAGUUGAGAGUUAAUAGCCUAGCAGCAAGCACACUGAGCCACAUUUCUGGUGUAGAUUCCAAGCUUCUACAGAUAGUUCAAGUCUAAGCAGUGACCCACCCAAGCCUGAUGAUUUUCUCAGUGGUCCCAGCUGGCCCCUGCCACAGGAGGCCCAGUAAAUGAACUCUAGCUGUAGCUGCUGCUGCUGCUGCUGGGAACACGGAGAAGCAGCGUUCAGGUUUUGUUCUGUGACAGCAGAGGAGGCACUGUAUACCCAAUUUAGCUUUCAGCAUGAUUCCGUUCGUGGAAGACAUGGAUAGGCCUCCAACCAGCAUCCUGCUCAAGUUGAAGACCAGACGCACUUUGUUAUUUCUUGAUUCCAGUUCAUGGGAAUCAGAGGCAACCAAUGGAAGGUCCUGCUGAUGGCAUAGAGAAGAGGCUGAUCUUUUGUUAUAGAUAUUAAAGGCACACGUCCUAGGCUAUGCUUCUGUAGUGUAGUAAAUCAGUCUCUGCUUCCAUUUUUAGUUCUUAGCCUAAGGGGAAAAUAUCUCUUACCUUAAAAAUCAGUGGCUAUGAAACACGCCAACUCUUUUUCAUGUUAGAUCAAGGCUUCUCUUUGUGAGCUGUCUUACUGUUGAGAUGCUUCACUGCAGACCGUUCUUGCACAGUUUUACCUGACUGUCCUCAAAAAAGUGAAUAAAGCAGGGAA